UGCAGCAGAGGAUACAUCAGGAGCAGUGGUUCAACACAAGGGAUGUUUUAAAGUUACUUAAGCAGAUCUGAGCCGCAAGUUGGUGUUGUGUGUUUGCCGGACAGUUAGCUUCUCUUCCAAUCAGAAGUGGAGCAAGAUUUGGAUGUGGAAGGGAAUGAUACUUUCUGCCUGGGGAAGCCUUAAUUAGGAGAUUUAGACCAAUACUGGUAAAUGCCAGAAAGACUAUGCUUUGAUCUUGAAUGGUGAAAUUCUGGAGUUAUUUUGCAGAUUUGGACUUCAAAAGUUAUGUGUGGUUGAAGAUUUUAGCUGGAUUCCUACAGUUGCAAAAGGUUUCUGCACAGCUUUAUGAAAUUUUUCGAGUGCUGUUGGUGUUGAAGCCUUUUUCAAUGGCUAUGAUUUGCAAGCCUGUAGGCCUUGUUUGUAGUUUUUUGCUAAUAUUUCAUGUUGCUGAUGUGGAGACUAGAAGGAAGGAAGUGAUUUCAGAGGGGUAUGAAGUUAAUUUGGAGUUGUGAAGGUGCUACAUAUCAGGUGAAACUAUGAACCACUCUAGGGGAGGAGCAAAGAUAAAAAUAGUUGGGAGCCUGAUCGAGAAAGAGACAAUGUCUGUCAAGGCUCUUCUCAAACAUCCAAAUGCAGUGUUCAUCAGAAUUACUGACACUCAAUUUGAUCAUAAGUGCUCGCAUGAGGUACAAAACUAAUUAACUACUACAUGGGACCUCAGUGAAUUAGUUUAAUAAAUAUUACUGGGAGUUGAUAAUGGAAAAUAAUGUUUUCCUAGAGGGGAUAUGUUCGAUCAGAUUGUGGAUUUUAAGGUCAUUAUUGAAACUAACCAGGCAUACAAGUACUUUGGACUUUGCACUUUCGCCUUCUGGAUGGCUUGACCAAAGAGAUGAAUUCCAUGGGCUCUAAGAAGAAAUACUUUGUAUUUACUUUGUGUAUUAAUAAUGAAAUGUACAAUGAAUUUAUAGCAAAAACAAAAAACUAAUCUA